GUGGGGAAUCUUCCGCAAUGGACGAAAGUCUGACGGAGCAACGCCGCGUGAGUGAAGAAGGUUUUCGGAUCGUAAAGCUCUUUCGUUAGGGACGAACGUGCUCUUUGUGAAUAAUGAGGAGUAAUGACGGUACCUAAAUAAGAAGCCACGGCUAACUACGUGCCAGCAGCCGCGGUAAUACGUAGGUGGCAAGCGUUGUCCGGAAUUAUUGGGCGUAAAGCGCGCGCAGGCGGGAUAUCAAGUCUGUCUUAAAAGUGCGAGGCUCAACCUCGUGAGGGGACAGAAACUGGUAUUCUUGAGUGUCGGAGAGGAAAGUGGAAUUCCAAGUGUAGCGGUGAAAUGCGUAGAGAUUUGGAAGAACACCAGUGGCGAAGGCGACUUUCUGGACGAUGUCUGACGCUGAGGCGCGAAAGCUAGGGGAGCGAACGGGAUUAGAAACCCGGGUAGUCC
rnacentral:rRNA from 1 species